rnacentral:rRNA from 1 species
GAUGAACGCUAGCGGCAGGCUUAACACAUGCAAGUCGAGGGGUAGUUGUCUUCGGAUAAUGAGACCGGCGCACGGGUGCGUAACGCGUAUACAAUCUACCUUUUACAGAGGGAUAGCCCAGAGAAAUUUGGAUUAAUACCUCAUAGUAUUUUUGAAUCGCAUGAUUUGAUUAUUAAAGUUCCAACGGUAAAAGAUGAGUAUGCGUCCCAUUAGCUAGAUGGUAAGGUAACGGCUUACCAUGGCAACGAUGGGUAGGGGUCCUGAGAGGGAGAUCCCCCACACUGGUACUGAGACACGGACCAGACUCCUACGGGAGGCAGCAGUGAGGAAUAUUGGACAAUGGGCGCAAGCCUGAUCCAGCCAUGCCGCGUGCAGGAAGAAGGUCCUAUGGAUUGUAAACUGCUUUUAUACAGGAAGAAACACCUCUACGUGUAGAGACUUGACGGUACUGUAUGAAUAAGGACCGGCUAACUCCGUGCCAGCAGCCGCGGUAAUACGGAGGGUCCAAGCGUUAUCCGGAAUCAUUGGGUUUAAAGGGUCCGUAGGCGGUUUAAUAAGUCAGUGGUGAAAGCCCAUCGCUCAACGAUGGAACGGCCAUUGAUACUGUUAAACUUGAAUUAUUAGGAAGUAACUAGAAUAUGUAGUGUAGCGGUGAAAUGCUUAGAGAUUACAUGGAAUACCAAUUGCGAAGGCAGGUUACUACUAAUAUAUUGACGCUGAUGGACGAAAGCGUGGGGAGCGAACAGGAUUAGAUACCCUGGUAGUCCACGCCGUAAACGAUGGAUACUAGCUGUUCGGAGCAAUCUGAGUGGCUAAGCGAAAGUGAUAAGUAUCCCACCUGGGGAGUACGGUCGCAAGAUUAAAACUC